rnacentral:lncRNA from 1 species
UUUGUCAGUUGGUCGGUUGCUGCAGGGAGUGUUAACUGGUAACUACUCAGAUGCAGUCUUCUCAUAACUCACUACUAUCUAGUAUAUAGUUUACUUGUUAUGUAACCUAAGCCUGCCUUCAGGAACAACUCUGUAAACCUGAAUGAAUCUGAUAGUAAAGUAAAUGUAAAGGGACCCCUGACCAUUAGGUCCAGUUGUGACCGACUCUGGGGUUGCGGCACUCAUCUCGCUUUAUUGGCCAAGGGAGCCGGUGUACAGCUUCCGGGUCAUGUGGCCAGCAUGACUAAGCCGCUUCUGGCAAACCAGAGCAGUGCACGGAAACGCUGUUUAUCUUCCUGCCGGAGCGGUACCUAUUUAUCUACUUGCACUUUGACGUGCUUUUGAACUGCUAGGUUGGCAGGAGCAGGGACCGAGCAACAAGAGCUCACUGCGUUGCAGGGAUUCGAACCGCCGACCUUCUGAUCGGCAAGUCCUAGGCUCUGUGUUUUAACCCACAGCGCCACCCAGUUUAUGUUAAUAUGAUUCAGAUUCAUGUGUGUUUCCUUUAAGAGGAACAGAACGGAAUUAUCAACCAGGAAGGUAUAAUGAUUGAUAGGACUCAAACGAGUUAGCAACCCGCUUGUUGCUGCAUAAACUCAAACAGGGGAUCAUUUAAACUCUGCUAAAUUAUAUAAACGUUACCACACUGCGUACCCUUGAAUACCCCCUGAAAAAAGCACUGCCCCUUUUUCUGGCAGCCCCUAGACCACUUCAGCACUUUUGUGGGGGAAUUCAGGGGAGGAGAACCUGGAUAAUGUCACACCCCCCCUCCACACUUCAAAAACUGGUUCUUCCCUCUAAAAUCCUGUUUAGAGGUGCAGCAUGCACACACUCACUCACUCACUCACUCAUGGUUUUGCCAUUUGCAGAAACUAAGCUCACUAUCACGCAUAAAUUAGAAAAUAAUUAAAAUGCAUGGAUGUGAAAGGAAGGAGAAUUCCCAUACAGGUGCCUCACUUAUAAAAGGAGCUGAUUGACAUUCAGGAGGUAGUAGGGGUUGUUCUAAGGCAUGCUGGCAUAAGACACUCAGAGCUGUGAUGAAAGAAAUGUGGCCAGGAUGCUCAUGUUUUCCGAAGGGACAGAGAUAGGGCAAUGGAAAAGAGGAAGUGAGGAAGGAAAGCUUGCAGUAAUAAUCCAGCAACAUGGAUGCUCCAAGUCUGGAGAUUAAUAAUGUUCCACUCACUCAGUUUAACCUGCACAGACCUGCUUUGAUUGCCAAUGAAAGAGCCAUGGGGGAGAAGGACUACAACACUGAUGAAAUAGAUUUAUGGAUGAGCAAUACAUUAUUUUCUUUGAUUUGCUGUUGCUAAAUUUGUGGGUUUUUCAGAUCCUCGGUGCUAACCGUUUAAUAUCUUAUGCAUCAAGUUUCACAAGACUCCUGAUGGGCUUUACAAUUACUAAUCCAUCAUAACAGCACCCGGAGGAUUUGCAUUCUGCAGUUAUUUCUCAGAAAGGAGUUUGCUCACUGAGAAACCCAUACCUUGCCAUCAUGGCUCCUUAUCCCUUCCUAUACUCAGAAGUGCUGUAUAUGUUUUCAAUGUUGGUGUGGUACAAUACUGCUGAGAUUAUACCAUUUCAGACUCCAUAUUGAGGACUGGAUGAUUGAAUGCUGUCUCACAUAAAGAAUAAUAAUCUCCCUGCAUAUGGAAAGUUAGCCUGGGAGAGGCUAGCUUUUGAUGUGCAUGAUGUUGUUUACAUGAGAGCACACUUUCAGCCCAAAGGCACCUGAAAGGAUGUACAAAUAUUUAGAAAGCUGAUACAAAUUUUAAUCUGAUUUUAGCUUAUUGGGUUUUAAAAAAAAAUAAAUCUUCCAAAACUCUUAAAUUAUUGUUGUUAAUUCCUCUUAUUGAUAAUUUUAUUGCUUUAUCUUUUUUGAAACACACACAAACACAUAUAUCUCACACCAAAUGGUUUUUUACAUUUUAUUUCAAAAAAUAAAUAACUAUGCACUUUGCCAGACACUCCCAUGGGUGUGACGCCUCAGGAGCCAACAUUGUCUUCAACUACUCAGCCUGAGAAGGUAGCCCCUCUCCUCUCCUUUAACUCCAAGGAUUUCCCUUCUGAACCAACAACUGAGCAGGAAGCCACCAGGAGUGACCCCUCUAAUUUCCAACCCUUUUAUUCCUCAGAAGGGCUGGAUUUUGAGGCCUCACUCUGGCUUCAGAGCUACUUAAGCUCCCAGGCGCCACCAGACUUUUGCUAGAGCAACACUCCCAACUUGCUGUGCUAUGUUGCAUCAUAGUCUGCCCAACCUCGUAACUGCAGCCUUGGUGAGCUGUCCAUGGUCCUGAUAUCCCAUGUCAAUACCCUUGCAAUCCCCCCCCUCAAAUCCUGAGUCAGGGAGACUCAGGCUUGUCAUUUGAGCCUCAAGUCCAUGAGUUCUUCUGUAGCAUAUGACCAAGCAGCCAGGUACCAAAUUCAGAGCCAAAAGCUUACAGUAACAAGCCAUGCAAGGGAAUAAAUGCAUAUGUUUUAUUAUGGAGGUUACAAAACAAAAUAAAAACACAUUUACCACACAAAGACAGUUAAGAAGAGACUAACAGUAUAAACACGUCUCUGGGGAUUCAGCUGCAGAUCAAAACAAUCAAAGCUAGCUUGUUUCACUCUAAUCCCAAGCCAUGAACUCUUUUGCAAGCUGCGUCCAGGCAUAAAUGGUUAAAGCAUCAUUUGAUCUUUCAUUUGAAAGGGGGGCAUUAGAGCUAGAUAUAUAUAUAUAUAUAUAUAUAUAUAUAUAUAUAUAUUUAAUGCUUAUAUGAAAAGGCCUGGAUACAGAUGCACAUAUUUCCGUUCAGCCAAUCAGGGGUAGGAACACAUUUCCCUAGCACUAGAGGGUGUGCAUGCUGGGAGACUAUGCGGCUACUGGGUGGAUUUCUGCACAGUCCCUGUCACCUUGACAGAAUUUUGCAUGAGAUACUUCACACAAGGAUCACAGGAUCCUAGGAACAUAAAAAGCUGUCUAAUACACUGCUCCAUCUAGUUCAGUGUUUUUACUGACCAGCAGCAUCUCUUCAGGGUUUCAGAUUGGUGGGUGUGUACGCACACUCACCUUCCAGCCGUGCCUGGAGAUGCUGACAAUUGAACCUGAGGAAGUCGAUGCUCUAUUCGACUCCUGAAAUGGUUCAAAAACCAACGUGCUGCUUCCGAUUGGCUGCAGGAGUUUCCUGCACUCAAGGGGAAGCUGCUGAAGCCACGUCAGACAUUCGGCUUCUGAAAAACGUUUGCAAACCGGAGCACUCACUUCCGGGUUUGCAGCGUUCAGGACCUGAUUUGUUUGGUAGCCAAACCUUUCGAGUACCAAGGUACCACUGUAUAUUGUUAUUCCUACCAUGGUAGGCACUCUUUUCAACUUCAAGUCAGUGCAAUUGUUAUUGCAAAUGCAAAACUGCCUUAUGCUGUGAGUCAGUGUGGCGAAGGGGUAAGAGUGUCAGACUAGGACCUGGGGGACCAGGUUCAAUAUCAACUUGGCCAUGGAGCUCACCUCUCAGCUUAACCUACUUCACAGGGUUGUUGUGGGAAAAUCUCUCUCUCUCUCUCUCUCUCUCUCUCUCUCUCUCUCUCAACACAAUGUAUGGCACCUUGAACUCACUGAAGGGAAAGGUGGGGUAUAAACUCAGUAACUAAAUAAAUAAGCCAUGGUUCUUUGUGAGCUUAAUUUGGGCUCUUCCUCUGCCUUAGAUCCUUCCAACUGAAGACAACAGAGAUGGGACAUUGGCCUGGGUGUUAAAGCUCAUCCUCUACUAUGCAUAUCUGGUCCCCGCUCAUACUGGCUAGCAACUCAAUCUUGCCAGUCUAUUUGGAUGGCAGUUGAGGCUCAGGGAUGAUGGGGCCAUUCUUCCUGGGAAUGAAGGACUGAGUCAAGGAUUUUCCCCGCAGGAGUUGUGCCAGGGACUAAUUGCACCCGAUAACGUGGUUUUUUUUACACUGAACUUGAUGACAGGGAUGGAGGGUAUUCACCUUGCCUCCUGGCUUAAUCAGUUAAGUAGAGAGGCACUUGGAACACCUUCUCCCAGGCUCCCCAGCAGCAAUCAAAGAGUACUUAGAAGAAACCUGCACUGAUUAAGCCUUGAAGAUGAAACCUCGACACCGUUACAAGGACUGGUCUUCCUUAUGCUUGCUCAUUCUGAGCUCUCUUCAACAGCUCCAUGAAGACUUAGAAAUAAUGAAUGAGUUACAAGGCAAGCCAGAGAUUUACCUCUAGAACAGAUGGAGGAUAAGGAUAUAAAUAACUACUAGCCAUAAUGGUUAUGCUCCGCCUCCAUGUUCAGAGGCAGCAAUGCUUCUGAAUACUAGUUUCUGAAAGCCACAGAAGGGGAGAGUGCUCUUGUGCUCAGCUUCUGCUUGUGCGUUUCCCACAGGCAUCAAGAUGGCCCCCAUGAAAACAGGAUGCUGGACUAGAUGGGGCAUUGCUCUCAUGCAGCAGGCUCUUCGUAUGUUCUCAAAUGGGGGUCCAAACCUUCUGGAUGAUACUAUGGUAAAUUUCUUCAAUAAACACACCAUUGUGAUGUUUGAGAUAGCUUUGCCCUGCUCAAAACUCCAGUGACCACCAAGGCACCUACAAAUGUAAAGUCCUCAGGCCUGUAAAUUACAGUGGUACCUCGGGUUGCAUACGCUUCAGGUUACAUACGCUUCAGGUUACAGAAUCCGCUAACCCAGAAAUAGUACCUCGGGUUAAGAACUUUGCUUCAGGAUGAGAACAGAACUUGUGCUCCGGCGGUGC